AUUUUAUUUAUUUAGGUAAAAAUAACAAUGAGUUGAAUACUGGGAAAGAUAGCUCAUAGAGCCCCAUUCCCUGAGUGCACUACCAAAGUCUGAAAAGCCCAUAAAUGCCAUUUUGAAACAGAGGGCCUGGUAAGGAGUCAACUGAAUUAACAUUUGUAGGAGAGAGUAGCAGGUGACACAUGGGGAGGGUGAGUGGGAACCCACCCGGUAGGUACAGGCAGACACUGAAUCCUUUUGGAGAAAACUGAGGGCAGAUGCAUUUGCUAGUAGACCCCAAGUUCCUCACGCUCAUGACGGCCACAGGGGCCAGGCCGGUGUGUCAACCCACAAAUGUGAGCUCUCGGGAGGCGCCCCAGUCGGUGACUCUUAGGGCCUGGAAACUGAGCAGUCAGGCUGUCCUGUUCAAGCCCCCUGAUGGCUCCAUGGAAACACACCCAGCGAGCUCCUAGGACACCAACACAAGACCUUGAGGCUCUGUUCCCCUCAACUAAUUGUCCAGAUAAGCCAGAACUAGUUGGGGGAGUAAAAGGAAAAGUUCAUUUAACAAAAAUUGUAGAUUCAGUUAAGAUAUGGUCAGGCCCCAGGUUAGCGCACCCUGGUCUCUGCCCUCAGAGGGAGAGAAGCGCGAUGCUGGGCACAGACUCCGACCGGGGCGGUGAGCGUACACACGGGACGCCCGGGAACCUGGGGUGGGGAAGCACCGCCUCUGGCUGUGGAAGGGCCCCGCGGCUGUCACUGAGUCUCUCACACCCCCUCCCUGUCCCGUGGCACCGUCAUGGGAGUGUGACACGGGGUCCCGGUGAGUCACAGACGCUUCCGCGUGAGGGCUGAGGAAGAGCGGAGACCAGGAAGUUCCGUGAUGCCGGCAUGAGUGUGGCAAGUCAUUCCUGAGGUUGCACACAGGAGGCAUUAGGGUUGGGAAACAAGUGCAUCGCCCUGGUCCUGGGCCGUCCCCUGCCUGGAGCCGCCUGCUCCUUAUAAAAGGGCCUCCUCAGCACACGGAGGCUAUCCUGCCGACACUCAGCCCUAGACCUUCUGCGGAGCGUCAGAUUCCUCGGACCCAGGAAAGAUGUCUUACCAGCAGCAGCAGUGCAAGCAGCCCUGCCAGCCUCCCCCCGUGUUCAUACCUAAGUGCCCGGAGCCUUGCCCUCCACCUAAGUGCCCGGAGCCUUGCCCAGCCCCAAAGUGCCCGCAGCCGUGUCCUCCCCCUCCGUGCCAGCAGAAGUGCCCCCCCUGCCAGCAGAAGUGUCCUCCCAAGUGCAAGUAACAGCGCCCGCACCGCCCAGGGUCAUGAAACGGAAGGACCCAGGCUCGUCUCAGUCCCAGGACCCCAUCACCCUCCUUUCUGCCGUGGUGACGCAUGCGUCUUCUCUCAGCUCCCACCUGAGCUGACAGCUCACAGAGAAAAGGCCUGGUGCCUGAGCUGAUGCCAUGCGGCUGGAGGACGCACAGCGACAUCAUUGCCUAAUCUCGCUCUGCCACCUCUCUCUGGUCUGGGUGUGGUCUCCAUCCUGGGAGGAUGUUGGCGUGUCUAUUGUUUUCCUUCUCCAAUAAAGCACGUGUUUCAUGG